CUUUUGUUCUAAACGAAGAGAGUAUAUAUUGAGUACAUAUAUAAACUCGCCCACAUCUAUUCAAAUUGAAUUAUGCAUUUACUACCACAUUCCAUUUAGUUCGACCUUUUUUCUCUUUUUUUUCUUACAAGAACAUUGCGAAUUUGUCAAGAUGGCAGAUUUGAGGAAUCUCUGGAGAUCUUUUAAGAUUUUAGAAGCUAUUUUAUUCCUACGACAUUGAAGAAUGACCAACAUGAUCUUACGGUCAUGAAGAUUCAGGUAUUUUUUUCUCCCAAGCGAAGAUUCUGUUUGUCUUUUUAUAUUUGAGGGUACAGUCUAGUCUAGAAACUGAUAUCUAAGAAGCGCUCUUUGUCCUCAAAAUCACAUAUUUCAUUCUAAA